CAUGCAAGUCGAGGGGCAGCAUGGUCUUAGCUUGCUAAGGCCGAUGGCGACCGGCGCACGGGUGAGUAACACGUAUCCAACCUGCCGUCUACUCUUGGACAGCCUUCUGAAAGGAAGAUUAAUACAAGAUGGCAUCAUGAGUCCGCAUGUUCACAUGAUUAAAGGUAUUCCGGUAGACGAUGGGGAUGCGUUCCAUUAGAUAGUAGGCGGGGUAACGGCCCACCUAGUCUUCGAUGGAUAGGGGUUCUGAGAGGAAGGUCCCCCACAUUGGAACUGAGACACGGUCCAAACUCCUACGGGAGGCAGCAGUGAGGAAUAUUGGUCAAUGGGCGAGAGCCUGAACCAGCCAAGUAGCGUGAAGGAUGACUGCCCUAUGGGUUGUAAACUUCUUUUAUAAAGGAAUAAAGUCGGGUAUGGAUACCCGUUUGCAUGUACUUUAUGAAUAAGGAUCGGCUAACUCCGUGCCAGCAGCCGCGGUAAUACGGAGGGUCCGAGCGUUAUCCGGAUUUAUUGGGUUUAAAGGGAGCGUAGAUGGAUGUUUAAGUCAGUUGUGAAAGUUUGCGGCUCAACCGUAAAAUUGCAGUUGAUACUGGAUAUCUUGAGUGCAGUUGAGGCAGGCGGAAUUCGUGGUGUAGCGGUGAAAUGCUUAGAUAUCACGAAGAACUCCGAUUGCGAAGGCAGCCUGCUAAGCUGCAACUGACAUUGAGGCUCGAAAGUGUGGGUAUCAAACAGGAUUAGAUACCCUGGUAGUCCACACGGUAAACGAUGAAUACUCGCUGUUUGCGAUAUACUGCAAGCGGCCAAGCGAAAGCGUUAAGUAUUCCACCUGGGGAGUACGCCGGCAACGGUGAAACUCAAAGGAAUUG
rnacentral:rRNA from 1 species